GAUGAAGAACGUAGCGAAAUGCGAUACUUGGUGUGAAUUGCAGAAUCCCGUGAACCAUCGAGUCUUUGAACGCAAGUUGCGCCCGAAGCCAUUAGGCCGAGGGCACGCCUGCCUGGGUGUCACACGUCGUUGCCCCCCCAUCUACUCCUUCGGGAUUGCGGGGGGCGGAUGAUGGCCUCCCGUGCGCCUCGUCGCGCGGUUGGCAUAAAUGCCAAGUCCUCGGCGACGCACGCCACGACAAUCGGUGGUUGCGAAACCUCGGUUGCCCGUCGUGUGCGGUCGUCGCGCAUCGAGGGCUCGAAAAAAUUGCCGGGCUCCGGCUCGGCUUUCAACGCGACCCCAGGUCAGGCGGGGUUACCCGCUGAAUUUAAGCAUAUCAAUAAGAGGAGGA
rnacentral:misc_RNA from 1 species